CGUUUGUCAGUGAGUUCCAGAGGAACCAGAAGGAGAGGAACCAGUAAAGACGGCGUGUUGGGAGGAAAUGAAUCCUCAUGGAGUCUGAGCUGCUCUCAUCGUCAUGGUUACGCUGUCUCUCACAAUAACAGAUGAACAGCAUGUCCUCCUCCUCCGUCUCCAGCAGUAGCAGCGUAUGUGGAGCGUCCUGCUGGAACUCUGUCCUUCUACAGAGUCUCCUCUGACUCUGAUCUUCCUCCACAUCUUCAUCAGCACCUUCAUCAUCCUCUGCUUCCUGGGUUUGGCUUCUUGUUCAGCUUGUUUUCUUCCUCAGUGUUUGUGUUGUGUAAAGAGUUUGAUCCUGUCAGACAUUAUUAACCAGAGUUCAGUCUGGAAGCGUCUGUCUUCUUCAGAAACAGCCUUUCAGAUUCACGUAUGAAACUCUUCUAGAUGAUUCCUUGGAUGUUUCCUGUUUUCCCUCCUUUAAAGAUAGAAGCUGGGAUUCUUCCAGGAUCAACUGGACAUGGGAUAAUUGAAGGUUGGAGCUUCUACCUCACCUGGCAGUAAAAGCUGAACCUGCAUGAACCAUCAGGGAAUUUAAAGAUGGAAAAGCAGCUCAUUUGUGCACAUUGAAAUAAUUCAGACCUUUAAGGCCUUUGUGAAGUAUUGAUGCAUGUAGCGGCUCAAACAGGGAGAGCAGCUGCUAAUCCUGCCAUCACCUCAACCAGAGUUUACACUUCAGAGCUAAACUAGAAACUUCUGCCAUUUCUACACAAUCAAGCCAACAGUGAUGCUGAAGCAGAAGAGCUCAUUUCUGACAAACCUUUACACGGAAAAGAAGCAGCGACACUAAACCAGCAGAGGAAGUCUGAGGAAACCUUUUAGAAACACUCAGCUUCUAAAAUCAGCUUCAACAUGAAUCACUGAUGGGAUUAAAAGAUGUUUCCAUCAGCAGCAGGAACAACAGUUUCCUGCACUUUGUUCUGAUUCUAGCUGCCAUUUUAUCAUAGAAAGAAGAGCCAGCAGGACCUGAGACUGGACUCAUGAGACUGGACCGCUGUAGCCAUGCACACACAGCUGGAUGAUGCAGAUGUUAGAGGGAACGAUGGAGACUCAGAGGAGAAAAAGCUUUGAUCCUCUGAGUUCAGAGCUCAUCUCAUGGCUGUUUGAAGGCUCAUCAUGAUCUAAAGUUGGACUUAAACCUGAAUCCGAGUUCAGUGUGAACAGUUCUAAUGAUGCUCAGAUGAUGCAUUAAUCCCAGCAGGAAAAACAUCUGGAACGUUCUGGCCUUUCCAUCAGAUUCUUUCCUGCUAUCAACAUGUUGGUGCUUGUGUUGUGAUGAUGUCGUUUCAGACUGGAAACUUCUGGAAACUGCAUCAUGAAGAUUCUUGUGUUCAAACUGGAACAAAGACGUGACAAUAAACACAUUUCAUUCUCCUCCACUUCCUGUGUACCUGGGUUCAGUCUCUCCUUCCUGGUGCAGCAAAGGCCUGGUCCAGGUCUGAGGACUGAUAAACUACUGCAGCUUCAUUGGAUUCCACCACAACCCCCCUAUGACACUGCAGAGUCAUUGGGGGGGUUUGGGCUUCAU